rnacentral:rRNA from 1 species
AACAACCCAGUAAAGCUACAAAAGCAGAGACCAUACCUCGUACCUUUUGCAUCAUGAUUUAGCAAGUAAUAACCAAGCAAAAAGCAUUUUAGUUUGGUCCCCCCGAAACCAAGUGAGCUACUCCAAGACAACCUAUAAUUAGGGUAAACCCGUCUCUGUGGCAAAAGAGUGGGAAGAGCUUUGAGUAGAGGUGACAGACCUAUCGAACUUGGUAAUAGCUGGUUGCUUGAGAAACGAAUAGGAGUUCUGCCUCUUAUAUUCUUACCCCACCUCGGUUUAUCAAUAAGCCCUCCCACAGGUAAAAGAAGAUAAGAAAGUUAAUCAAAGAGGGUACAGCCUCUUUGAGAUAAGAUACAACUUUUUCAGGCGGGUAAAGAUCAUAACUUAUUAAGGCACUCAUGUUUUGGUGGGCCUAAAAGCAGCCACCCCAUUAGAAAGCGUUAUAGCUCUAACAUGUCCCUCCCCCCAAUCCCGACAACAAAUCUUAACCCCCUAACUGUAUCAAGCCGCCCCAUAAAAAUAUGGAAGCGAUUAUGCUAAAAUGAGUAAUCAGAGAACAACGCUUCUCUCCCUGUACACGUGUAAAUCGGAACGGACCCCCCACCGAAACUUAACGGCCCCAAGCAAAGAGGGCACUGAAUGGCAAGCAACAAACUAGAAAACCAUCCAAAAUUCAACCGUUAACCCCACACUGGUGUACUUCUAGGGAAAGACUAAAAGGAAAAGAAGGAACUCGGCAAACACACCCAAGCCUCGCCUGUUUACCAAAAACAUCGCCUCUUGUUAACUACACAUAAGAGGUCCCGCCUGCCCUGUGACCCCUGGUUUAACGGCCGCGGUAUUUUGACCGUGCAAAGGUAGCGCAAUCACUUGUCUCUUAAAUGAGGACCUGUAUGAAUGGCAUGACGAGGGCUUAACUGUCUCCUUUUCCCGGUCAAUGAAAUUGAUCUUCCCGUGCAGAAGCGGGAAUACUUGCAUAAGACGAGAAGACCCUAUGGAGCUUUAGACACUAGAACAGAUCAUGUAAACUACUCCCUAAACAAGUAAUAACUAUUGAAUCUCUGUUCCCCUGUCUUUGGUUGGGGCGACCACGGGGAAGAAUAAAACCCCCAUGUGGACUGGGAGCACAAAUCUGACUCCUACAAUUACGAGCCACAGCUCUAAAACGCAGAACCUCUGGCCAGUGAGAUCCGGCAAUGCCGAUUAACGAACCUAGUUACCCUAGGGAUAACAGCGCAAUCCCCUUCAAGAGUCCAUAUCGACAAGGGGGUUUACGACCUCGAUGUUGGAUCAAGACAUCCUAAUGGUGCAACCGCUAUUAAGGGUUCGUUUGUUCAACGAUUAAAGUCUU